AUUGAACGCUGGCGGCAGGCCUAACACAUGCAAGUCGAGCGGAUGAAGGGAGCUUGCUCCUGGAUUCAGCGGCGGACGGGUGAGUAAUGCCUAGGAAUCUGCCUGGUAGUGGGGGAUAACGUCCGGAAACGGGCGCUAAUACCGCAUACGUCCUGAGGGAGAAAGUGGGGGACCUUCGGACCUCACGCUAUCAGAUGAGCCUAAGUCGGAUUAGCUAGUUGGUGGGGUAAAGGCCUACCAAGGCGACGAUCCGUAACUGGUCUGAGAGGAUGAUCAGUCACACUGGAACUGAGACACGGUCCAGACUCCUACGGGAGGCAGCAGUGGGGAAUAUUGGACAAUGGGCGAAAGCCUGAUCCAGCCAUGCCGCGUGUGUGAAGAAGGUCUUCGGAUUGUAAAGCACUUUAAGUUGGGAGGAAGGGCAGUAAGUUAAUACCUUGCUGUUUUGACGUUACCAACAGAAUAAGCACCGGCUAACUUCGUG
rnacentral:rRNA from 1 species